CGUGAAAAAUGUACUUGAGAGAGCUUCCUUCGGUCCAUUCAUGGAUGGUUGUGGAGUUGAAUCAGCUGCCGACUCAUUCAUUCAAACACUCAGUAGAAAGGAAGUGCGCAAAUUCUGCAUGCCAGUCUGCAGCAGACAGAAAAGGCUUCGGAACUGAGCUACUAUGUGAAUGAGUGAAUGAUGCGGGAGCUUAUUCUCUCUCUUCCAGUCCAUACUUGGACUGAAGGGAGCUCCCUCUUCCUCAUCUCUUAUA
rnacentral:pre_miRNA from 15 species